rnacentral:rRNA from 1 species
GACGAACGCUGGCGGCGUGCCUAAUACAUGCAAGUCGAGCGAAGUUUUUCUGGUGCUUUCACUAGAAAAACUUAGCGGCGAACGGGUGAGUAACACGUAAAGAACCUGCCUCUUAGACUGGGACUACUAUAGGGAACGAUAGCUAAUUCCGGAUAACAGUAUUUCUCGCAUGAGAGAUAUUUAUAAGUUGUUUAUGCUAACACUAUGAGAUGGCUUUGCGGUGUAUUAGCUAGUUGGUGGGGUAAAGGCCCACCAAGGCGACGAUGCAUAGCCGACCUGAGAGGGUGAUCGGCCACACUGGGACUGAGACACGGCCCAGACUCCUACGGGAGGCAGCAGUAGGGAAUCUUACGCAAUGGGCGAAAGCCUGACGCAGCAACGCCGCGUGAGUGAAGAAGGAUUUCGGUUCGUAAAGCUCUGUUGUUAGGGAAGAAUGGAUAUGUAGUAACUAUACAUGUAAGAGACGGUACCUAACCAGAAAGCCACGGCUAACUACGUG